rnacentral:tRNA from 1 species
GAGGAUAUAGCUCAGUGACAGAGUGUAUGCUUAGCAUGCAUGAGGUCCUGGGUUCAAUCCCUGGGACCCCCC